UCGUUGGUAUACCUGAUGCGGUGAAGAUCUUUGUAAAGGGAACAAUUAUGUUCUAUUGAUAUCCAUCGAAGCAGUGGAGAACAUCAAGAAGGAAUUAUUCGGGCUACCAUACAAGGAUAGCAAGCAACUCAAUAAAACAUUACUGGAAUGGGUGUACAAUCUGAACCAUCAAUUUGGUAUUUUUCCUCCAGAAACUGAAUUUCAAAAUAUUUUACUAUGGAUAUAUUUAAUUGGGAUAGUACAAGCAUGUCUGAAAUCUGAGCAACUGAUGCCCUGUUUGGGACCGCGAUUGCGUCGCGAAUGAGCGAGAAAAGCAAAAAAAACCCGCCAAACGUCUCGCGACUAACGCGCGUCUGCCGGCCGCCUGCAACGUGAAACGCGGAAAAAUGAACUAAGCGAGGGAAAAUCGCGAACGCGUGCUCCGAGCCGCUUACGUGUAUAAGCGACGCACGAUUCUCACCCACGGUCCCAAACAGGGCCUGAAUCUCUAGCUCAUCUAAAAAGCUGCUGCUAUUCAGUAAGUAUAAGCUAUAACCAUUACAUUGUACUUAAAGCAUUUCACUAGCUUUUCUGGAGGAAAGAGGCUUCACUUUCCUGAGUUCAUCACUAUUUUUUCUCUGUUUUCAUCCUGCUUAUCAAGGAAUCUAUUCCUGUUGCCAUAAGAUUUGAGUAGCAUUCUUUUUAUAAAUUAUAUGAACUUUAUUGAAAGAUUGCUCAAGCAGUACAUGAAAGAUUGCUGAAGCAUUCUUUUAUAAACUUAUUUGUUAAGCAUUUUCCAGUGAUGUAGGGUUGCAGAAUAUAGUUUGUUGUAAACUUUACCGGCUUUAAUGCCUUCAUGGAAUGUAACAGCACAGGAUAUAAUGUGAUUUCUAUAUUUUUUCUGAAACAAUGGUGCUCGAAUAAAAAAUAGUGUGGUGUAUUCUAUUGUAGCACCUAAACAGUUCAAAUGAUGGUUACAAUUAAUUUGUUAUUACUGUCCAAUGCACAUUCCUAGGCCAAUCAAUAAAUUUAACCAGUUUAAUUUUGUUUCCUUCAAAGGCUAGACAGAAAAGGCAUUGUUUGGUACUUUUUACUGAAAUGUGGUCUGGUGGAAACCGGAGACUAUCGGACUUGAGGCCUUAGAUUAUUGGAAAUUUCUGUAUAUUGGAUUCUUUUAGUAGCCUAUUGAGAAAGUCUUUUUGAUAUAUUUUUUGUCAGUCAUACAACAUCUAAAACUUCUCUGUUUUAAGUAUUUCAAGUAUUGAAUCCUCUAUGGAGAGCUCAUGCCUCUAUAGUUGAACAAGUUGGUUCAAUAGAUUGCAUGAUGGGUUAUUUUAGACUUAUUAGAUUGCCAUAAUUAUUGAGUAAACAACAUUUAUUUUCUGCAAUGUAAACACUUAGAUAAUGGUAAGUUUUACUUGAUCUGUGCCGAUACUAAUAUUCGUAUCCUGCAUCGGUGCUGCAUAGAUGAAAAAGUGAUAUAAGCAAUGUAUAGGAUUCUAGCAAAAGAGAAUGCCCAAUUUGUCUUCCUGAUUGAUCUCCCUCGAAUUAGGACGCCAUGGGACUCUUAAAGGAUGUCAGGUUACAAAGGAUAUGGCACUUUAAAAAUACCGAGUUGACUAGAUUAGUUACCUUUCCUAAAGCAAUCAGUAUCUGUAGUCUAUGUUUUUUUAUUUCUGUACCCAGUUAUGUGUUUCCUUAGGACUACCAGAGGGUCAAGAACGUGUACAAUAGAGACAAGGUUUGGAGCUACUGCCAAGACAAGAUAUUAGAUUACAGAAUACUUACUAAGUUACUAUUUAAUUACAAUUAAUGGUGGGAGAAACUUUGGAUCCCAGUAUUCCAGUAUGACCCCUUUAUUAUGCUUGGCAGCCUGCCCGCUUAUGUAUUGUACUUUUUUUAUGCCACUAAU